GGGGAUGUAGCUUAGUGGUAGAGCAUUUGCCUAGCAUGCACAAAGCCCCAGGUUCCAUCCCAGCACUACCA
rnacentral:tRNA from 1 species